rnacentral:rRNA from 1 species
CACGUAGGGCGCAAGCGUUGUCCGGAAUUAUUGGGCGUAAAGAGCUCGUAGGCGGUCUGUUGCGUCCGCUGUGAAAACUCGGGGCUUAACCCCCGAGCCUGCAGUGGAUACGGGCAGACUAGAGGUAGGUAGGGGAGAAUGGAAUUCCCGGUGUAGCGGUGAAAUGCGUAGAUAUUGGGAAGAACACCGGUGGCGAAGGCGGCGAACCUGGUCCGAUACUGACGCUGAGGCGCGAAAGCGUGGGGAGCAAACAGG